AAAGUGCGAUAACUCGUGUGAAUUGCGGAAUUCGUGAAUCAUCAAAUUUUUGAACGCAAAUGGCGCCGAUACUUGUAUUGGCACACCUAUUUGAGUGUUGGCUAAAACCUUCUCCUUCUUCCUUGAUUGAGAGAUGAUGAAUGUCAAUCUUUGUCAAAAGGAUUGUCAUUUUAAAUGGAUUCUUCAAAACCUUUCACUGUGACUUGCGAGAAACUAUGAAAGAAUAUUUGAUCAACACUGCAGCUCUUUAAUAUCUCUUACGGGAUAUUAUUGAAAAUCAACCUCAAAUUAGGUGAGAGUACCCGCUGGACUUAA
rnacentral:misc_RNA from 1 species